rnacentral:tRNA from 1 species
GGUGGAGUAUCCAAGUGGCUAAAGGGCGUUGACUGUAAAUCAAUUCUGCACUGCAGUUCGCUGGUUCGAAUCCGGCCUCCACCACCA